CAGCAGCCGCGGUAAGACAGAGGAUGCAAGCGUUAUCCGGAAUGAUUGGGCGUAAAGCGUCCGUAGGUGGCUUUUCAAGUCCGCCGUCAAAUCCCAGGGCUCAACCCUGGAACUGCCUUUAAUACUGGGUAUCUAGAGUAUGGUAGAGGUGAGUGGAAUUCCGAGUGUAGAGGUGAAAUUCGUAGAUAUUCGCAAGAACACCAGUGGCGAAGGCGGCUCACUGGCCCGGAACUGACGCUGAGGUGCGAAAGCGUGGGGAGCAAACAGGAUUAGAGACCCCUGUAGUCCCUGUCUCUUAUAA
rnacentral:rRNA from 1 species